GAUGAACGCUGGCGGCGUGCCUAAUACAUGCAAGUCGAGCGAACAGACGAGGAGCUUGCUCCUCUGACGUUAGCGGCGGACGGGUGAGUAACACGUGGAUAACCUACCUAUAAGACUGGGAUAACUUCGGGAAACCGGAGCUAAUACUGGAUAAUAUAUUGAACCGCAUGGUUCAAUAGUGAAAGACGGUUUUGCUGUCACUUAUAGAUGGAUCCGCGCCGCAUUAGCUAGUUGGUAAGGUAACGGCUUACCAAGGCAACGAUGCGUAGCCGACCUGAGAGGGUGAUCGGCCACACUGGAACUGAGACACGGUCCAGACUCCUACGGGAGGCAGCAGUAGGGAAUCUUCCGCAAUGGGCGAAAGCCUGACGGAGCAACGCCGCGUGAGUGAUGAAGGUCUUCGGAUCGUAAAACUCUGUUAUUAGGGAAGAACAAAUGUGUAAGUAACUAUGCACGUCUUGACGGUACCUAAUCAGAAAGCCACGGCUAACUACGUG
rnacentral:rRNA from 1 species